UUGAAAGUAUCCGCUCUUUGACCAAACCGUUUAAAUCUUCAGUUUAGAGAUGUAGCCGUUAGCAAACCGUUGCUUAUGGAAACACAUCCAGCAGAUACAGAGCAACACUUGGAGUCAUGCUUCGGGACAGCUGACACAUACUCUUCUCUAGCGCGGCGGCUACGAGUUCUGGACUGGCGGAUGGGGCCCGGAGCUGGGCCCGGAGUUUCUGAACUUGGAGGAGUGAAUCCAGACCCCGAAGAGUAACUGGGACCUGGCAUGUCGUAUGGGUCCACCAGUGACACCGGCUGGGUCAUGGUUGUGGUGCCAGUGGACCCACUCUGUCCAGAAGCCUGGGAGGAGAUCAGGGUUGGCUGAACCAUCCACUGCAGGUCUUGACUGGUGGUGAUGGCGGUGACGGUUGGAUAUCUGAAGAAUUUACAGGAAAGGGGUGGAAAGAAAGUGGAGACAACAUGCAGCAAAGGGCCGCAGGUUGGACCCAAAUUCUGGGCCACUGUGGCAAACAGCCUCCCCACACGGGGUGCCCACUAAACCAAAUGAGCAACUGGGACAUUUUUAUCAUAUAUCAAAAGAGUUAUUGACACCAUCAUCCCAGCUUCAGCAGACCGGAGGAGGACAUUAUCAGCUAUCAUUAAUAUUCAUAUAAAAGCGAGUUAAAACAGUGGGACAGGCGGCUCUGAAAGCGGCUGCCUCGACCAAUCGUGUCUCUCGAAGAGCGUCUCCCCCCUCCUUCUUCCUCCUCCCCCGUCACACCCCCGGUGUUCCCCUUGGCAACGCGACGUAGCACUCCAAAAUAGAACAAGCAUUUACGUCACGGCGGCCUGUGAGAGGAGAACGCAGCGCGUGGAAGGAGAGAAGCGAGGCGGGGCGGGGCUACCGCGCUUACGUCGGAGAGUUCCAGGACCCUGUCAUCCGUUCUGCGGCGUGCUGUAAACGGAGCACGUUGUCAAGGCUUGAGAGCCGCUGCCGGGGCUACCCAUCAGCAGCGGAUCGACGUACAUCUAUGCUGAAUUGUUGAUAUACUUGACGCGACUUUUUACAUCUGACUACACGAACGAAGUCGCACAAACAAAAUGGCUUCCGUCAUGAUACAAACAAAUGAUAAAAACUGCUAUGAAACGUUUAGGUGGAUCGUCAACAUAUAUGAUGUAACAUUUCUGGAUUACAUUUUCAGUGCUAUGUUUAAUCAUGCUCUAGCCUUUGUAUCAAGAUUUGAUACAUUUUGCAUAAAAUUAAGCUACAUUCCCACAGAUUUUUUAACUUAUUAUAAUGCAACAUUAAAGGCUAUGCUGUUUUGCCUUAUUGUUAUAAAACAGCAUUCAAGCCAUAUACCAAACACAUGGGGUGCUCAGUUACCACAUACAAAACAUAUACA